GGUAGUUCUUGGGUGACGCUCCCCAGAAUUGGGCACCCUCCUCUCUGGUUCUGGGUGGGUCACCUGAGAACCGCA
rfam:Myotis lucifugus cont2.51246, whole genome shotgun sequence.